GACGAACGCUGGCGGCAUGCCUUACACAUGCAAGUCGAACGGCAGCACGGGUGCUUGCACCUGGUGGCGAGUGGCGAACGGGUGAGUAAUACAUCGGAACGUACCUUAUCGUGGGGGAUAACGCAGCGAAAGCUGUGCUAAUACCGCAUACGCCCUGAGGGGGAAAGCGGGGGAUCGCAAGACCUCGCGCGAUUAGAGCGGCCGAUGCCUGAUUAGCUUGUUGGUGGGGUAAAAGCCCACCAAGGCGACGAUCAGUAGCUGGUCUGAGAGGACGAUCAGCCAAACUGGGACUGAGACACGGCCCAGACUCCUACGGGAGGCAGCAGUGGGGAAUUUUGGACAAUGGGGGCAACCCUGAUCCAGCAAUGCCGCGUGAGUGAAGAAGGCCUUCGGGUUGUAAAGCUCUUUUGUCAGGGAAGAAACACCGGCUCUAACACAGUCCGGGAAUGACGGUACCUGAAGAAUAAGCACCGGCUAACUACGUGCCAGCCGCCGCAGUAA
rnacentral:rRNA from 1 species